GGGAAUUUCCCUCCGCUCCGGGAAGCGCGGGCCGUUCCCUUGGCUGCCUUCCCAAAGGCAGAACGCGGGCCGCGGGCCGCCCCGUCCUCGAGGCGCCUCAGGGCUUCAGGGUCCUGGGUGGGCCGAGCAGGUACAAGGGGGACAGGCAGGGGUAGCCCUAGAGGACCGCGACGGGGAGAGAAUGGAUACGUUCCGCUCUGCCCGGUCUCCAGCGGCCAGGAACCGCAGGCAGGAGUGAUGUCCCCAAGGCGCCUUCAGCUCUGGUGCCAUGGCCCCGGGUUCCUGUGUCUCCUGGCCUGGCUGGGAGCAGGGACGGUCGCUCUGGCCGCCAAGGCAAACGGGGUGAGGAGGUGCCCGCUGCCUGCAGCGGGGCUCGGGGGCCAGGCCGUAACCAGCCUGGUGCAGUGCCACAUUCCCGCAGGCACUGUCUGAGGAAGUCCUUCUCAGAAACCACGUCAAGUAAGGCUACGGCUCGCAAAACAAACUCUUCACUCCCCAAAAUCACAUAAAGCAGGAAGGGAGACCAGGAGCUGACCAUGUUUCUGUUGCGAGUCCCCAUGGCGCCAUUCAGAUAGAGUCUCUGCACCUGGCUAAAAGACAUGAACAAACUGACCGAGUGUGACCAAUGUACUCAACUCCUUAACCAAACUAAGGGUGACACUACUGUUCCUACCUGUCUCUGUUUGCUGUUUCCUCAGAAGCAGAACAUUGUUUAUUUAAGAUCUACCUGAGAUGUUCUGUAAGUCACAGAUCAUUUUUAUCUUGUCAGUUCUUCUCUUUCCUUGUUUAAUUAUUUCUGCUUAACACUACAACACUGCUCUUUCCCUUUUGACACACCAUUUCUCUAACUUGUUAAGGUGCUUUUGAAUCUUAAUCUUGUUUUCUGAUAUGAUUGUGAUGCCUCAUAGCUUCAUGCCAUUUGGAAAUCCUGGGCAUCUUCUGUUUUAUCAGACAGUUUGUUGGCUGUGUACAGCCCAGACAGAUGUUUUUAACUCCACUAUUGUUUCAGUUUAGCUGCA